rnacentral:rRNA from 1 species
GACGAACGCUGGCGGCGUGCUUAACACAUGCAAGUCGAACGGAAAGGCCCUGCUUUUGUGGGGUUCUCGAGUGGCGAACGGGUGUGUAACACGUGAGUAACCUGCCCUUGACUUUGGGAUAACUUCAGGAAACUUGGGCUAAUACCGGAUAGGAGCUCCUGCUGCAUGGUGGUGGUUGGAAAGUUUCGGCGGUUGGGGAUUGACUCGCGGCUUAUCAGCUUGUUGGUGGGGUAGUGGCUUACCAAGGGUUUGACGGGUAGCCGGCCUGAGAGGGUGACCGGCCACAUUGGGACUGAGAUACGGCCCAGGAUGCUACGGGAGGCAGCAGUGGGGAAUAUUGCACAAUGGGCGGAAGCCUGAUGAAGAAACGCAGCGGGCGGGAUGACGGCCUUCGGGUUGUAAAACGAAUUAGACUGUGAAGAAGAGUGAGUGACGGUAAUGGGUAAAGAAGCACCGGCUAACUACGUG